CAGCAGCCGCGGUAACACGAAGGGGGCUAGCGUUGUUCGGAAUUACUGGGCGUAAAGCGCACGUAGGCGGAUACUUAAGUCAGGGGUGAAAUCCCGGGGCUCAACCCCGGAACUGCCUUUGAUACUGGGUAUCUCGAGUCCGGAAGAGGUGAGUGGAAUUCCGAGUGUAGAGGUGAAAUUCGUAGAUAUUCGGAGGAACACCAGUGGCGAAGGCGGCUCACUGGUCCGGUACUGACGCUGAGGUGCGAAAGCGUGGGGAGCAAACAGGAUUAGAUACCCCCGUAGUCCCUGUCUCUUAUAC
rnacentral:rRNA from 1 species